UACGGAGGGUCCGAGCGUUAUUCGGAUUUAUUGGGUUUAAAGGGCGCGUAGGCGGGCUGUUAAGUCAGCUGUGAAAUGUCAGGGCUCAACCUGGGAAUUGCAGCUGAUACUGGUUGUCUUGAGUAUGCGAGAGGGGGGCGGAAUUCGUGGUGUAGCGGUGAAAUGCUUAGAUAUGACGAAGAACACCGAUGGCGAAGGCAGCUCACUGGAGCAUAACUGACGCUGAUGCGCGAAAGUGUGGGUAUCAAACAGG
rnacentral:rRNA from 1 species